rnacentral:rRNA from 1 species
GAUGAACGCUGGCGGCGUGCCUAAUACAUGCAAGUAGAACGCUGAAGGAGGAGCUUGCUCUUCUGGAUGAGUUGCGAACGGGUGAGUAACGCGUAGGUAACCUGCCUGGUAGCGGGGGAUAACUAUUGGAAACGAUAGCUAAUACCGCAUGACAACAGUUAUUGCAUGAUAACUGUUUAAAAGGGGCAACUGCUCCACUACCAGAUGGACCUGCGUUGUAUUAGCUAGUUGGUGAGGUAACGGCUCACCAAGGCGACGAUACAUAGCCGACCUGAGAGGGUGAUCGGCCACAAUGGGACUGAGACACGGCCCAGACGCCUACGGGAGGCAGCAGUAGGGAAUCUUCGGCAAUGGACGGAAGUCUGACCGAGCAACGCCGCGUGAGUGAAGAAGGUUUUCGGAUCGUAAAGCUCUGUUGUAAGAGAAGAACGAGUGUGAGAGUGGAAAGUUCACACUGUGACGGUAUCUGACCAGAAAGGGACGGCUAACUACGUG